rnacentral:rRNA from 1 species
UGAAGUCGGAAUUGCUAGUAAUCGUAGGUCAGCAUACUACGGUGAAUAACGUUCCCCGGGCCUUGUACACACCGCCCGUCAAACCAUGAGAGUUGGCAACACCCGAAGUCGGUAGUCUAACCGCAAGGAGGACGCCGCCGAAGGUGGGGUUGAUGAUUAGGGUUAAGUCGUAACAAGGUAAC